rnacentral:snRNA from 1 species
AUACUCUGGUUUCUCUUCAGAUCACAUAAAAUUUUUAUUUACUAAAGAUUUCCAUGGAGAGGAACAGCUGAGUCUCAAGCUGUUAUUUUGAUACAGCAGGGCUGGAU